rnacentral:rRNA from 1 species
UACGGGAGGCAGCAGUGGGGAAUAUUGCACAAUGGGCGAAAGCCUGAUGCAGCUAUGCCGCGUGUAUGAAGAAGGCCUUAGGGUUGUAAAGUACUUUCAUCGGGGAGGAAAAACAAAACUAAUAAUUUUAUUUCUUGACGUUACCCGAAAAAGAAGCACCGGCUAACUCCGUGCCAGCAGCCGCGGUAAUACGGAGGGUGCUAGCGUUAAUCAGAAUUACUGGGCGUAAAGAGCACGUAGGUGGUUUUUUUAAGUCAGAUGUGAAAUCCCUGGGCUUAAACCUGGAACUGCAUUUUGAAACUGAAAUACUAGAGUAUCGUAGAGGGAGGUAGAAUUCUAGGUGUAGCGGUGAAAUGCGUAGAUAUCUGGAGGAAUACCUGUGGCGAAAGCGGCCUCCUAAACGAAUACUGACACUGAGGUGCGAAAAGCGUGGGGAGCGAAAACAGGGAUUAGAUACC